GGUUAAGCGACUAAGCGUACACGGUGGAUGCCCUGGCAGUCAGAGGCGAUGAAGGACGUGCUAAUCUGCGAUAAGCGUCGGUAAGGUGAUAUGAACCGUUAUAACCGGCGAUUUCCGAAUGGGGAAACCCAGUGUGAUUCGUCACACUAUCAUUAACUGAAUCCAUAGGUUAAUGAGGCGAACCGGGGGAACUGAAACAUCUAAGUACCCCGAGGAAAAGAAAUCAACCGAGAUUCCCCCAGUAGCGGCGAGCGAACGGGGAGCAGCCCAGAGCCUGAAUCAGUGUGUGUGUUAGUGGAAGCGUCUGGAAAGGCGCGCGAUACAGGGUGACAGCCCCGUACACAAAAAUGCACAUGCUGUGAGCUCGAUGAGUAGGGCGGGACACGUGGUAUCCUGUCUGAAUAUGGGGGGACCAUCCUCCAAGGCUAAAUACUCCUGACUGACCGAUAGUGAACCAGUACCGUGAGGGAAAGGCGAAAAGAACCCCGGCGAGGGGAGUGAAAAAGAACCUGAAACCGUGUACGUACAAGCAGUGGGAGCACGCUUAGGCGUGUGACUGCGUACCUUUUGUAUAAUGGGUCAGCGACUUAUAUUCUGUAGCAAGGUUAACCGAAUAGGGGAGCCGAAGGGAAACCGAGUCUUAACUGGGCGUUAAGUUGCAGGGUAUAGACCCGAAACCCGGUGAUCUAGCCAUGGGCAGGUUGAAGGUUGGGUAACACUAACUGGAGGACCGAACCGACUAAUGUUGAAAAAUUAGCGGAUGACUUGUGGCUGGGGGUGAAAGGCCAAUCAAACCGGGAGAUAGCUGGUUCUCCCCGAAAGCUAUUUAGGUAGCGCCUCGUGAAUUCAUCUCCGGGGGUAGAGCACUGUUUCGGCAAGGGGGUCAUCCCGACUUACCAACCCGAUGCAAACUGCGAAUACCGGAGAAUGUUAUCACGGGAGACACACGGCGGGUGCUAACGUCCGUCGUGAAGAGGGAAACAACCCAGACCGCCAGCUAAGGUCCCAAAGUCAUGGUUAAGUGGGAAACGAUGUGGGAAGGCCCAGACAGCCAGGAUGUUGGCUUAGAAGCAGCCAUCAUUUAAAGAAAGCGUAAUAGCUCACUGGUCGAGUCGGCCUGCGCGGAAGAUGUAACGGGGCUAAACCAUGCACCGAAGCUGCGGCAGCGACACUAUGUGUUGUUGGGUAGGGGAGCGUUCUGUAAGCCUGUGAAGGUGUACUGUGAGGUAUGCUGGAGGUAUCAGAAGUGCGAAUGCUGACAUAAGUAACGAUAAAGCGGGUGAAAAGCCCGCUCGCCGGAAGACCAAGGGUUCCUGUCCAACGUUAAUCGGGGCAGGGUGAGUCGACCCCUAAGGCGAGGCCGAAAGGCGUAGUCGAUGGGAAACAGGUUAAUAUUCCUGUACUUGGUGUUACUGCGAAGGGGGGACGGAGAAGGCUAUGUUGGCCGGGCGACGGUUGUCCCGGUUUAAGCGUGUAGGCUGGUUUUCCAGGCAAAUCCGGAAAAUCAAGGCUGAGGCGUGAUGACGAGGCACUACGGUGCUGAAGCAACAAAUGCCCUGCUUCCAGGAAAAGCCUCUAAGCAUCAGGUAACAUCAAAUCGUACCCCAAACCGACACAGGUGGUCAGGUAGAGAAUACCAAGGCGCUUGAGAGAACUCGGGUGAAGGAACUAGGCAAAAUGGUGCCGUAACUUCGGGAGAAGGCACGCUGAUAUGUAGGUGAAGCGACUUGCUCGUGGAGCUGAAAUCAGUCGAAGAUACCAGCUGGCUGCAACUGUUUAUUAAAAACACAGCACUGUGCAAACACGAAAGUGGACGUAUACGGUGUGACGCCUGCCCGGUGCCGGAAGGUUAAUUGAUGGGGUCAGCGCAAGCGAAGCUCUUGAUCGAAGCCCCGGUAAACGGCGGCCGUAACUAUAACGGUCCUAAGGUAGCGAAAUUCCUUGUCGGGUAAGUUCCGACCUGCACGAAUGGCGUAAUGAUGGCCAGGCUGUCUCCACCCGAGACUCAGUGAAAUUGAACUCGCUGUGAAGAUGCAGUGUACCCGCGGCAAGACGGAAAGACCCCGUGAACCUUUACUAUAGCUUGACACUGAACAUUGAGCCUUGAUGUGUAGGAUAGGUGGGAGGCUUUGAAGUGUGGACGCCAGUCUGCAUGGAGCCGACCUUGAAAUACCACCCUUUAAUGUUUGAUGUUCUAACGU
rnacentral:rRNA from 1 species